rnacentral:rRNA from 1 species
AGUGGCGGACGGGUGAGUAACGCGUGAGAAUCUGCCUUGGGGUCGGGGACAACCACUGGAAACGGUGGCUAAUACCGGAUAAGCCGAUUGGUGAAAGAUUUAUUGCCCGAAGAGGAGCUCGCGUCUGAUUAGCUAGUUGGUGAGGUAAGAGCUCACCAAGGCAGCGAUCAGUAGCUGGUCUGAGAGGACGAUCAGCCACACUGGGACUGAGACACGGCCCAGACUCCUACGGGAGGCAGCAGUGGGGAAUUUUCCGCAAUGGGCGAAAGCCUGACGGAGCAAGACCGCGUGAGGGAGGAAGGCUCUUGGGUUGUAAACCUCUUUUCUCAGGGAAGAAGCUCUGACGGUACCUGAGGAAUCAGCCUCGGCUAACUCCGUGCCAGCAGCCGCGGUAAUACGGAGGAGGCAAGCGGUAUCCGGAAUUAUUGGGCGUAAAGCGUCCGCAGGUGGCAAUUCAAGUCUGCUGACAAAGCACGGGGCUUAACUCCGUUAAGGCAGUGGAAACUGAAUAGCUAGAGUGCCGUAGGGGUAGAGGGAAUUCCCGGUGUAGCGGUGAAAUGUGUAGAGAUCGGGAAGAACAUCGGUGGCGAAAGCGCUCUACUGGACGGCAACUGACACUCAGGGACGAAAGCUAGGGGAGCGAAUGGGAUUAGAUACCCC